rnacentral:ncRNA from 1 species
AGAUAGAGGUUGCAUCCAGUCAUAAGUAGCUUCUGCAGAGCUGUGCAGAGCGCAGAAAGCGAAAGGGGCGGAUGCCGAAGUGAGGGAGGACUGCAUAUCCGACUGAUCUGGGCGGGCGGAAUAAGAUCCGUACGACUGUCGCGAAUUCGCGGAGCGCUAUCC